rnacentral:rRNA from 1 species
AAUUUUUUAUGGAGAGUUUGAUCCUGGCUCAGAACGAACGCUGGCGGCAUGGAUUAGGCAUGCAAGUCGAACGCCUGUAGCAAUA